UCACAGGUGAUUCACAACACUCUAAAUACUCAAAGAAGGUUCAGUUGCUCAGUCUCACCGUGUUGGUAGAGUUAGCUCAGCUUAUGAAGCAAGUCAGGUUGUUCUUAAAAAAGAUCAGUGGGAAGCAAGAGAGAAGUAAAGGCCGGGUUUACUGCUGUUUAUAAUUUCUUGGCAUUUGAAGAAUGGAGAAAUUGAAGAAUGGAGAAAUUGAAGAAUAGAGGGUUGAUUGUUGGUGAUAUAACUGUUGAUGGAUAUUUUGGAAUUAACUAUUUUAUUAGGUUUUAUGUUUAUUAAAUGGAGGAUAUCUGAAUGUGGAUUUAUGGUUGGUUGUUAGUGGAUUAUAUGAAGUAUGGACUACUUAUUAUUAUAUUC